AUACGGAGGGUGCGAGCGUUACUCGGAGUCACUGGGCGUAAAGCGUCCGUAGGCGGUCGGGUAAGUCGGGUGUGAAAGCCCCGGGCUCAACCUGGGAAGUGCACCCGAUACUGCUCGACUCGAGUGCGGGAGAGGAUGGCGGAAUUCCCGGUGUAGCGGUGAAAUGCGUAGAGAUCGGGAGGAACACAGUGGCGAAGGCGGCCAUCUGGCCCGCAACUGACGCUGAGGGACGAAAGCGUGGGGAGCAAACAGGAUUAGAAACCCCAGUAGUCC
rnacentral:rRNA from 1 species